rnacentral:rRNA from 1 species
GAUGAACGCUGGCGGCGUGCUUAACACAUGCAAGUCGAACGGACUUUUAAUGAAGCCUAGCGAUUUAAAAGUUAGUGGCGGACGGGUGAGUAACGCGUGGGUAACCUGCCUUAUACAGGGGGAUAACACUUAGAAAUAGGUGCUAAUACCGCAUAAGCGCACAGUAUCGCAUGAUACAGUGUGAAAAACUCCGGUGGUAUAAGAUGGACCCGCGUCUGAUUAGCUAGUUGGUGAGGUUAACGGCUCACCAAGGCGACGAUCAGUAGCCGGACUGAGAGGUUGACCGGCCACAUUGGGACUGAGAUACGGCCCAGAC